AAUUAAUCCGAGAGGAACAAGGUGUUACAUUGAAUGCUCACAGGUACACGGUCGGUUCAGAUAGGUAAGGCAGGCGGUUCAGAGGCCAGGAAGACCAGAACUGGAGGAGGGCAUUAACAAAUCCGGAAAAUAUGAAACCAGUGUGAGAAAGCGAGCUUGCCCUUCCCCUUUGCUUGUAUGUUACACCCUCUUCCGACCUCAGCUCGCGGUCAGGAUGUGGACCACCACACGGUGGCGCUGCCGUCUAAUCCUUAGUCUCCUUGGUCGGCCCUGUUUGUCUAUGAUGGCCGCCGCGUGUGUGUUUGUUGACCGUCUCGUGUUCUUGUUAGCUUUCAGACUAAACGAAAUUUGGAAGUCACCACGAAAGGGAGAAUUCUCCGGAAUGGAGACUCAAGAUUCUGGCCCUCGUCGCAGUGACAUUUUCUCUGUGAAAUAACGAACCCUCAUUCCUAUGUGUACUCUUCGCUACCCCGGGACAUUUCAAUGGUAGAGGUCAGUACCCUGAGCUACAAUCAACGGACAAAGUCACCUACUGCCACGGCUGAGGUCAGAUCCCAGGCCACGGGAAAUCCUUCAGGUCAUUAUUACCCUGUCUUAUUGUUAGUGGUGUUUUCUGAAGUUCUUCCUCAGCUGGCCCUGGCCGAGCUUGGCUUUCUCUUCUGUCACAGUCUUUGCAGCUGAUCCCGAGAGUAGUCUUUAAUAAACACACUGGAAACAAGUCUGAAGGUUUUCCUGAAACACCGCCAUUAUUUGAGAGAAUGAAGUCAACACACCAAGGGAAACGGAAACCAGAGAGGGAGGCUGGGUGCAGUCAACCCGAGGGCCGGCUCUAAUGCAGGCAUCCUGUGGUUUGACUGUGAGAACCAGAUGUUUCAUAUUUGAAAAUAUUCGGUCUCAAGGCUGGUUUGAGCUGGUUCUCCAAGCAGAAAGCCGUGGCUGAUAUAACGGGCGUCUGAACAAACUGUAUGGGCUAUUCUUAAAUAUUAGUUUAAAAGAUCAUUCCUCGGUUUAGACGGCAGCUACUUGAACACGCUCUAUCUGGUUUCCUUUAUUUUCUUUCUUUAAGAUGUUUUUAUUAUUAACUAAUUUACUAACUUGUGUUGAAGGGUCUCACGCGUGUACCCCAGGCUGGCCAGAGUCUUCAGAUCCUCCUGUGUGCUGGGAUUUCAGGCUCAUGUGACCACGCCUGUUUUCUGCAGUGUAGAGAAUUGAACUGAGGACUUUGCACAAGCGUGGUGAGCCACCUCAGGCACUUCCUGAGCCUUGCUUGGUUUCCUCAGUGAGGAAUCAACACUAGCAAGGACCUGCUCAUUGUAUUACUGGAAAGGUUAGACAAAGAAAUACAUACAGGUUGCCUGGAACCGUGCCAGACACAUCAGGAACCCCUAAAAAUUAUUGGCUCCAGGAUCAGAUCAUUUUUUACCCGGUAACUUUCAGGAAAUGCCUUUGCUGCUUUGUGGAUUGGUAAAAUCAUGGCAAAUUUGGUCACGAUUGGCUCCCGCCACUCAUCUGGAGUUCCAGAAGGCAAAUGCCUAAAGGAGCAAGCUCAGUAGCAAGACAGUGGGGACCGGGGCACAUGGGAAGCCUAGGUCUCCUCAGCUGUGCUUGAGGAUGGCUGCCAGAACCAUACGCAAACAAGGUUUUGUCGUCACCAAGUCUGAUUCAAAAUAGUUUAUCUCUGCAACAUUGGCUAAACAAAGGAGAGCAAAUAAAAUACACCUGCCAACCCCAGCCUGAGGUUUCCGUUGAGUAACGUUUAUGGAGUAGCAUAUUAUAGAGUGAAAUUUUUAUAAGCUAUUUUUAAAUAAUAAAGGAAUAUAGAUUGUGUAAAUAAUGUUGAUAAUGUUGGUGAGGGUACAGUGAGAACAGCGGCCUCUACUCCGCCUCUCUUAGGCUCUACCCCAACAGUCAUGAGCCCAUAAAUAACACUAUUACUCCAGUCUUGGUUUUGUUGUUGUUGUUGUUGUUGUUGUUGUCAUUGUUGUGGCUGUGUUGUGUUGGUUUUUGGCUUUGGUUUUGUGCUGAGGCAAGGUCUCUUUAUGUAGUCCCUGAAGCAGUGCCCUUGAACACACAGAGAUCCAUCUGCCUCUGCCCUCCAAGUGCUGGGGUUAAAGGCCCAUGUCACCACAUGCGGAAGGACUAAUGUAUCUAGUUCUUAUCAUGAAACAUGAAGAUUUAAUUUCUGAGUUGGAAAGAUUAAUGGUUUACUGGUAGAGCAAUCCCCUGGCACGUCCUGAGUUUGAUCCCCAAUUAGUAAUGACCAAAAAAGAAUUUGUAAUAAGGAUUUAAUCAUAAAUCCUUUACAGUUCAUUUUUUUUGGCUUAAAACAUAAAAUUGUAUGUUUCCCCUAGUUAAUUCCGCAUUUCUGCAUUUAAUUAUAUAUACAUUUAAUUAUAUAUAAAUACAUAUAUAUAUAUAUAUACAAAAGAUUUAUUUAUUUUAUGUAUGUGAGUACACAGUCUCUCUCCUCAGACACACCAGAAGAGGGCAUGGGAUCCCAUUACAGAUGGUUGUGGGCUACUAUGUGGUUGCUGGGAAUUGAACUCAGGACCUCUGGAAGAGCAGUCAGUGCUCUUAACCACUGAGCCAUCUCUCUGCCCCCCAAUCUCAUAUUUUUUUAACCUUGCAAAUAAAUAAAAAACAUCACGCACCAAAAUUAACCAGGUCUGAAGUCUAUACAACGCAGGGAACUUCUAUACAGCCCCGCCCCUCAGGUGGAGGCGCUCCUCCUGUCCCGCCCCUCAGAGGGAAGCGAUCCUCCUGGCCCCAUUCGAUAGUAUUACUCACUUGGGCCACCGUAUCCAGCCUAACUGCUUUAUGUAACGCUGUGAAAGUUGAAUUGGCAGGAUUCAAUCAAAACCACAUUACUUGAUGGAGAGAUCUAGUACAAAGAUUUUUUUUCCCCAACAGUUCUGCCUGUGGUGGAACUGGCCUGGAACUCACAGAAAUCCUGCCUCUGCCUUCUGAGGGUUAGGAUAAAUGGUGUGUGCCACCACAACUGGUUACCUUCUUUCCUUCCUUCCUUCCUUCCUUCCUUCCUUCCUUCCUUCCUCCCUUCCAUUUUAAAGAUGUUUUAACUAUGUCUUUAGUAGAAUACGAAAGAGAUCUUUGUAGUACAUGUCAUCUCUAAGUGAAGGGGUUAAAAAGAACCGUAAACCAGGGUUUCCAGUCCUGUUAUUGGUGCCACAUUGGGUGGAAUCCCUUGUAGGGGCCUGUCCUGUGUAUAGUAGGGUGUUUAUUUCAAAGCAUCCCCUGCCGAAACCCAGCAGAUGAGGGCCAUGCUCCCUCACCUGCCCUGCGAUGUAACAAACACCUCUCUAACUCUUGGCAACGUCCUUCCUUAAAGUUAUCUCAAAGGCAGCGAAGGUGGGGAGCAGCUGCCACCACAGUGUUAGCAGAGGAGAAAGAGAAGGGGAACUGCUUAAAUUAGAAAUCUGCUGAUGCUCGUUCCCUGCACUGGGCACGGUGAAGCCAGUUCUGCCGGUGCUGCCAAAACUGCAAACCGGGCUCCAUUGCUACAGGAAAGCAAGCUGCGGUUUGUGGGACAAGUCUGCACUCUGGAACAGCAGCCACCUGAUUUCUUCGGCCUCCCUCGAGCGCCCCCUACAGGCAGAGUCUGGAAGGGAGCCAGUCCGCAAGGAAAGCCCCUUGAUGGAGGGAAAAGGCUAGAAUUGGUUCUAGCAAAGCUGGAAAUGUAUCCAGGAAUAACGGAAGAUCAUGGCGAGUUUGAAUUUACGUCUGUGGACAAAAACUUUUAAGAAAAUAAGCGUUUUUAUAUACUUAAAGGCAACAAAUUGCAUAUGUUUUCCUAGUGGCUAAUCCUAUGUUCUGUGAAUUGAUUCUUACUGCUUUUGUGCUUUGCAUAACCUUACUUCCGAUCUUAAGAAUAGUUGUCUUAAUUCAUCUGUGCCAACUCCCCGAGAUUUCCAGAGCAUGCUGCAUUUGACUUUUUACUUUUGCUCUUUAAAUGUUUCUUUCUCCCACAAGACUGUUAAUGCCUCGAUAAGAAUUGUGUUUUAUUGAUUUUUGUCUAACUCACUAAGUAUUCCUUAAAAGCCUAAUAACGGAUGAACUAUCUGGAAGAAAAAGAAUAGAAAAUAUAAAUGUGCUUGUAAACAGGCACGUCCCAGGGCUCUCAGAUGGCAAGGGAAUUAAAACAGAUUUUAAACGGCCAGGCAUGGUGGUGCACACCUUUAAUCCUGGCACUUGGGAGGCAGAAGCGGGUGGGUCUCUAUGAGUUUGAGGCCAGCCUGGUCUACAGAGUGAGCUCCAAGUCAUCAAAGGCAAAAUGGUGACACACACACACACUUAAAACUAAUAAAAGCGGGGCUGGGGAUUUAGCUCAGUGGUAGAGCGCUUACCUAGGAAGCGCAAGGCCCUGGGUUCGGUCCCCAGCUCCGAAAAAAAAGAACCAAAAAAAAAAAAAAAAACUAAUAAAAGCAAAUAUUUAAAGAACAGACAAGUAUAGCUUUAAGGUUGACAGGAUGACUUGGUGGGACACAGGUUGUGGAGAACAUUCUAGAUCCAAGCAAAAGCAGCCUGGGUGAUUUUGUCCUUGCUUAUUUCUCUGGUUUCUGUUACCUUACAGCCUUUCCAGUCGAGUUUUCUUAAUGCUUUUUGAACACGGAAAUCAUAUUUCUACCUUAGGGCCUUUGUUCACGCAAUUCUUCCACAGGGAUAUGUGUGCCUCAUCUCUUUUCACUGUUUGCAUGAAUACCUUCCUUCCUCCCUUCCUCCCUCCCUUCCUCCCUCUCUCCCUCCUCUCUUUCUUCAUAUGUUAUUGGGGUUAAACCUAGAACUUUAAUAUCUAGGAAAGCACUCUACCACUGAGCUACAUUGCCACCCCUAUAAAUAUUUGCUUUUUGUCAAGGGCUCAGUAAUUCACCCAGUCUGGCUUUAAACUCACUAGGUGCCUCUGGCAGGCCUUGAACUCGCCAAGUAGUCUGCAGCAGCUUCCCUUGUAGCCGAAAUUACAGCUAUACAGGUUCGUUGAAAUACACUAGAGGGUGUUUAUUUACUAGACUGUGUCUGUGCUGGUCACUGGAUUCAGAACCUAUAUCCUAGAUACUAGAACUCGUAUAGUCUAGUACAUAGUGGAAGACUGUUAUUAUCGGUGUGGGGGGUGCUAAGGGUGGAACCCCACUGUAUACUUGACUCUGAUAUGGAUACUGGAUUCAGCGACCAAAACAGAGACGUGCUGUAGUGCAUAAAUUAUUUGUGGUGUCCUACGGAUUCAUAUAUGACCGUGAGGACACAGCAGAGAUCAGAGGCGUGUUCUCCGAGCUGAGGAGACCUAGCCAGCAUCACUGAAUGAAGACUAGGUACGAGCUCAUUUAACCAUUAUCCGUCUGUGUAGUUGUUUUUGCAGAGACUCUAAAUUUCAAGAUUGUUUGAGCCAAGCUGGAGGUUGAUUGUCGCUGUUUGCUACUGCUGCUGACAAUGAAACGUCUCGGCUCUGAGAAACCACGCGAUUCUUCCCCUGCAUAUUUCGAGCACCUUCCCUUCCAGAACUUUCCCAAGGAAAACGUCCUAUCUGUACCUCAACAUAGCCCGGAAUGUAAAUCACAGCCACCAGUUUCUGCCACUCAAACACCAACACAAUAUGACCUCACACAGAGCUGUGAGAUCGGGUUGCCAUGGUAAUCUCUAUUCCCAUCAUCGUGAACUAAUUGUUCUGUUUGAAAACUGCUGCUCCUGAGGUUCAGCGAGCUUCAACCCUGCCAGACCUCAGCCGGCAGGAAGCUAAAUGAUGUGUUAUUAUUCAGCAUAAUUAUUUGCCAACAAUCUAUAUUUAGAAGUGGGAGAGUAUAUAGAAGAGAGAUUUUUUUUAAGGGGGUCUUUUCAAUCUAUCCAGGGCUACUGUAAGUACGAGCACCUUUUCUUUCUGUCGUUGGGACAUCCCUUUAUUCUGACGGCCCCUAAGUUGUACCGCCCCCAUCCCACACCUCUGCCUUUCCAGCAUAUUAGCAUCCCAAGGAUCCUGGUGUGGUGGGAAUGCGGCUGGCAGCAUGUCAUGUGACCUGGAGCAUCGGAGUGAAUCCAGGAGCAAGCGAAAGAUACCAGGAGCAAAGCACAGAAGCCAAUCCAGGUGACAACCAUCACGAACCAGACUCCGGGAUGGACUGAAUAACUAACACACUCAGAUGCUGCUGAUCCCAAGUCAGACAGGCAGGGGCAGCCCAGAAGUCACUGGCAACGAUCAGUCUGCACCUGGGUGGUUCCUAACCAUGAGAAAAACAGCUUUGCUGUUUAAGGAGAUGAUCUUGGAUCUUCCAUUGACCAACUGGGUAAUUCCCCACAGGGUGUAUUCAAUUCCUCUGAAGUAGGUCCCCAUUUGCAGGAAUAAAUAAGCCCCACUCCCUACCUCCCACCCCUCACCCAGUGCUAAGUAAGACAGGAGUGGUUCACCUUUCCUGCACCUCUUGGGAUCAAGCCCUGACAAAUGCAUUCCUCUGAAUUCUUGCUGCGGUCACAAAUCCAGGGGCCCUCCGCGCUCCCCAGCCUCUCCCUCGUUCUGUUUUUCGUCGUUGGACUAGCACACCAUCUGUCGUAGUCAGACAUUCCACGCACCUUAUGGGUUGCUAUUAGGCUCUCAGUGUUGAGCGAAGUGGGCGUGUCCAUCACUCCCAUGAAAUUUGCAAGUCAAAUUAGAGAAACAAAUAGCCAAUAAAAACACUGUUAAUGAAUACUGUUAAUGAAUAAGCUGGAGAAGACGCUAUGGAAAAGAAACACCAGCCCUACUGCAAUCAACACCCGAAGCAUAGUGCUAAAAAUGAGAAGUUAAGUAGAUAAAGGGAAUGUGAAGAAGAGGGAUGUAGGGAACUGAGAGAAAGCCUGAGGAACCCGUUAGUGUACAGACUAUUUGGGGGGGAUUUGGACUCUGAAUUAGAAGAAUGAGAAAUCACUGAAGGGCUGUUGUGAUGAUCGUUUGUAUAUGCUUGGCUCAGGAAGUGGCCCUGUUAGGAGGUGUGGCCUUGUUGGAGUAGGUGUGGCUUUGUUGGAGUAGGUGGGGCCUUGUUGGAGUAGGCGUGUCACUGUGGGUGUGGGCUUAAGACCCUCACCCUAGUUGCCCGGAGUCAAUCUUCCACUAGCAGCCUUCAGAUGAAGAUGUAGAACUCUCAGCUCUUUCUGUCUAGUGUUGCCAUGUUCCUACCUUGAUGGUAAUAGACUGAACCCCUGAACCAGUAAGCCAGCCCCAAUUAAAUGUUGUCCUUUAUAAGA